AGAAUCAACGCUGGCGGCGUGCCUAACACAUGCAAGUCGCACGAGAAAGGGACUUCGGUCCUGAGUACAGUGGCGCACGGGUGAGUAACACGUGAAUCAUCUACCUUCGAGUGGGGAAUAACUGAGAGAAAUCUUAGCUAAUACCGCAUAAUACCUACGGGUCAAAGCAGCAAUGCGCUUGAAGAGGAGUUCGCGGCAGAUUAGUUAGUGGCGGGUAAUGGCCCACAAGACGAUGAUCUGUA
rnacentral:rRNA from 1 species